ACGAACGCUGGCGGCGUGCUUAACACAUGCAAGUCGAACGGAAAGGCCCUGCUUUUGUGGGGUGCUCGAGUGGCGAACGGGUGAGUAACACGUGAGUAACCUGCCCUUGACUUUGGGAUAACUUCAGGAAACUGGGGCUAAUACCGGAUAGGAGUUCCUGCUGCAUGGUGGGGGUUGGAAAGUUUCGGCGGUUGGGGAUGGACUCGCGGCUUAUCAGCUUGUUGGUGGGGUAGUGGCUUACCAAGGCUUUGACGGGUAGCCGGCCUGAGAGGGUGACCGGCCACAUUGGGACUGAGAUACGGCCCAGACUCCUACGGGGGGCAGCAGUGGGGAAUAUUGCACAAUGGGCGGAAGCCUGAUGCAGCAACGCCGCGUGCGGGAUGACGGCCUUCGGGUUGUAAACCGCUUUCGCCUGUGACGAAGCGUGAGUGACGGUAAUGGGUAAAGAAGCACCGGCUAACUACGU
rnacentral:rRNA from 1 species